rnacentral:lncRNA from 1 species
AGCAGCUGCUGGCCCAGGUGCUAAGCUCCUCACUGCCCAGGGCUUGCGGGCUGGCGGGCUGAUCCCAGUGCCGGCCGGCGGAGCCCACGCCCACCCGGAACUUGCGCUGGCCCACAGCGCAUGUGCAGCGCCGGUUCCCGCCCACGCUUAUCCCUCCACACUUACCCGCAAGCUGAGGGAGCAGCCUGCGGCCUUGGCCAGGCCAGAAAGGGGCUCCCAUAGUGCAGCGGCAGGCUGAAGGCCUCCUCAAGUGCGGCCAGAGUGGGCGCCAAGGCUGAGGAGGCCCCAAGAGCGAGCGAGGGCUGCAAGGGCUGCCAGCAUGCUGUCACCUCUCAUUUGGGUGUUCUCAAGAGAACUACCUAAAUUGUGCACGAGUUUCCAUCUCAGAGCCUGUUUCCUGGAGAACCGAACUUAAGACCUGUGAUUUAGAAAUGCCUGGAUGCAACAAGGACAAGGGCAGAGCCUGGAACAUAUGCCCUGGGAUCCCAAAGUAAGACCAGUAGUGACUGGAUGAGCAUCCAUAGACCCCAUUCAUACUAGUCACUGUGUGAAGCUGGAGAAUGAUCCCAGGAAUUCACUACAAGAUUCAGUGGCUUCUCUAGAAAUUCAGAAAUGGAACUACUAAAGUUCUACUUAUCCUGAGGGCUGCUGAUUCAACAAUAGGCAUACCUCAGAGAUACUGAAAGUUCAGUUCAAGACCAACAUUAUAAAAAAGAAUAUCACAAUAAACACUUCCAUGAAAAAUACUGUAUUUAAUUCUCUCAAUAACUGGGCUCUGCUG